CACACACACACACACACACACACACACACACACACACACACACACACACACACACACACACACACACACACACACAGUUACACACGACACGUUUACUGGUAGUACUGCGUAUGGGAAAAAUGAAGUUAGCCUCCCCCUCAGAAACCACAGAGAAGACCAGUCGUCUCUCAGUGGUAUCAGCAGUCUUUUAUGUCUUUAUGGUUUGUAGUACUGAGAGAGAGACACAUUCUCCCUGCCUGGUGAAACCAAGCUGUGUGGCCCAAAUGGUGUUAAAGGGCAGAUAAUAAAGUUAAUAAUAAUAAAGGCCUACUAGGGUUUUGGAAGGAACUGUCAUAAGACUGGGAGUGUGUAGGUGUGAUUGUGUAAAGGAGGGAGAGAGAUAGAGGAAGAGACUGGGAGUGUGUAGGUGUGAUUGAGUAAAGGAGGGAGAGAGAUAGAGGAAGAGAAUGGGAGUGUGUAGGUGUGAUUGAGUAAAGGAGGGAGAGAGAUAGAGGAAGAGACUGGGAGUGUGUAGGUGUGAUUGAGUAAAGGAGGGAGAGAGAUAGAGGAAGAGAAUGGGAGUGUGUAGGUGUGAUUGAGUAAAGGAGGGAGAGAGAUAGAGGAAGAGAAUGGGAGUGUGUAGGUGUGAUUGAGUAAAGGAGGGAGAGAGAUAGAGGAAGAGAAUGGGAGUGUGUAGGUGUGAUUGAGUAAAGGAGGGAGAGAGAUAGAGGAAGAGAAUGGGAGUGUGUAGGUGUGAUUGAGUAAAGGAGGGAGAGAGAUAGAGGAAGAGAAUGGGAGUGUGUAGGUGUGAUUGAGUAAAGGAGGGAGAGAGAUAGAGGAAGAGAAUGGGAGUGUGUAGGUGUGAUUGAGUAAAGGAGGGAGAGAGAUAGAGGAAGAGAAUGGGAGUGUGUAGGUGUGAUUGAGUAAAGGAGGGAGAGAGAUAGAGGAAGAGAAUGGGAGUGUGUAGGUGUGAUUGAGGAAAGGAGGGAGAGAGAUAGAGGAAGAGAAUGGGAGUGUGUAGGUGUGAUUGAGUAAAGGAGGGAGAGAGAUAGAGGAAGAGAAUGGGAGUGUGUAGGUGUGAUUGAGUAAAGGAGGGAGAGAGAUAGAGGAAGAGAAUGGGAGUGUGUAGGUGUGAUUGAGUAAAGGAGGGAGAGAGAUAGAGGAAGAGAAUGGGAGUGUGUAGGUGUGAUUGAGUAAAGGAGGGAGAGAGAUAGAGGAAGAGAAUGGGAGUGUGUAGGUGUGAUUGAGUAAAGGAGGGAGAGAGAUAGAGGAAGAGAGUGGGACAGACACACACACACACACACACACACAUAGUUGAGUGAAAGGUGCUGUGUCUAAUGGUGCAGACCUCUCUAUUUAACA